rnacentral:lncRNA from 1 species
CACAGGUCCGCCUGAAGGUGCAGGCUUCCCCAGGGUCCCUCUGUGCCAUCCACACCAUGGAUCAGCCCACAUCGUACUAUGGUCUCGAGGCUGCCCUCAGCUCCAAAGUGGUCUAUAACUUACGCCCAUCUUCUGAAGACAACUCUUAUUCUGAAUAUGGAGCAAUCUGUGUUGUCAAUAACAUGGGUAUACAUCCAGGAACCUCUCUACAGUUCAACUCAUUUCAUGAGCAUAUCGCAGCCGCUAUACCACUCAACCCGUUUGAUGUGCCUAUCCUCACAUACAAAUGGCGGCACGCUAGGCAGGCAGCAGAGUUUCGCAGCUCUCCGGACCCGUGCGACCCGGGUGUGGUAGGAGCCAUCCCCCCCCCCCACCUCUCCAUCCCUGCCUUAUGCUCCUCUUCCUCACAGGGAGGGCUUCCUGGGGUGCUGGGGCACCCGGUCCCCCACCCAUCCCACACCCGUGCUCACAAACCAUCCUCCUACAUCCCCCACGCACUGCACCCUGCUCCCAGCCUGCGGCAGGCAUGCGGAUUGCGCCUGUCCGUCUGGGCAUGGUGGCUUCCCGUGGGGAUGGGGCUAAGCUCUGGCCUUCCAUCGUGAACCUGGGCUUGGAGUGAGCAGCCAAGGAGAGGCCUCCCAUCGGCAGCACUGGGUUGGGGCUGGCUGGGGACGGGGUGAGCAGAGCAGACCCAGCAGGUCACGGCCACCUGCCCCAGUGCAGCCGUGCGCCCCGGCACUCCUUUUCCCCUCCUGCGCUCCUGCUGCAGUGUGCCAGGGGGUCCUGAUUUCUGGGAGCUCCUUUUUGGCUUGAAGUGCGAGAUGAUUCCUCAUUUCAGAAAGGGUCAGAAAGGUGUUUUGGCAAUGCUGGUCUUCAGCGCACUGUGGUUCCCUCUUGUGUGUCACAUUUCAGCGUGCAGCUUUGAGAACUGUCACCAACACCGUCCUGAACAGCUCUAUGGCAUUCCAAACAGUGGGUGAGCGGGGAUGGUCUGCAAGAGCCCCCACGCCAGCUGCUGAAGGACAGAUGGGGGUCGUGCAGCCCCUGUCCUUCCUGGCAGCGCAUUCAAGCUGUGCCCAUCAGCAGGGCUGGAGAAGUACGAACAGGAAGGUGAGAGAGAGCCCCAACCCCGGCAGGACCUAGUACCGCAGAAGGAUUUUCCUGGGACGUGGCUGUGGGAGCUGGUCCCUGUGGGGUAAGUAAGGAGCCCUAGAAGACCUCAAGCCAGGGGACUGCCCGUAUCACAUCAGCUUCCCCUCUGGGUGCAGCACCCAGACCACUCGGUCGGUGUCCCUGUGUCCAGGAGUGGCACUGGGACACAUCCAGACGCUUCCCUCCAAACUCAGCACCAGCCCCAGGACAGACUGUGGCAAACCAAGUCCUGCAGGCAGGGGAUGCUGUAAGAGAGAACCAGGAGCACUGGUGGCACCUCUGCCUGCCCCAAACAUGCGAUGACCACCGGUGCUUGGACCACGGGUGGCUGGCACGCUCCUUCUGCUGGCUCUGCCCAUCAGGCCCAGCCAGCAAGGACUGUCCAUCUCCCACCGCCCCGCAGGGAGGAGGGCUCCGUGGAGGUGCCGGUGACGGUGCCCGACGCCAUCA